CUGAAAUGAAUGAACGAAGAUAAACUACUCUUGUUCUUCUCUGCCCACUUCUUUAUACUGUGUCAUGGUGACAAUGGAUAUUACAAGGGGGAGCUUGGAUAAAAUUUCAAGGCCUGCAUCUAGCUCAAGAGCUCAUCUUAGCUGUAGAUCUUUAAAUACAUCUAUGGAGUUAUUAACACCAGAGCCAUGUUUGUCAAAGGUUGAUUCACCUGUCAGUUUGGCUGGUGGUCAUCAAAGAGGCAGUCUAGAAGACUGCUGUGCAGAAGAAGACAAAGAUGAUGACAGAGAGAAAUCUGAUGUCAAGGAC
rnacentral:lncRNA from 1 species